AUACGUAGGGUGCAAGCGUUAAUCGGAAUUACUGGGCGUAAAGCGUGCGCAGGCGGUUUUGUAAGACAGAGGUGAAAUCCCCGGGCUCAACCUGGGAACUGCCUUUGUGACUGCAAGGCUAGAGUACGGCAGAGGGGGAUGGAAUUCCGCGUGUAGCAGUGAAAUGCGUAGAUAUGCGGAGGAACACCGCUGUCGAAGGCAUUCCCCUGGGCCUGUACUGACUCUCGUGCACGAAAGCGUGGUGAGCAAACAGGAUUUGAUACCCUGGUAGUCCGCGCCCUAAGCGAUGUCAACUGGUGGUUGGGUCUUCAUUGACUCAGUAACGAAGCUAACGCGUGAAGUUGACCGCCUGGGGAGUACGGUCUCAAGGUUGAAACUCAAAGGAAUUGGCGGGG
rnacentral:rRNA from 1 species